rnacentral:rRNA from 1 species
UACGUAGGUGACAAGCGUUGUCCGGAUUUACUGGGCGUAAAGAGCGCGCAGGCGGUCGUUCAAGUCGAGUGUGAAAGCCCCCGGCUCAACUGGGGAGGGUCACUCGAUACUGAUCGACUCGAAGGCAGGAGAGGGUAGUGGAAUUCCCGGUGUAGUGGUGAAAUGCGUAGAUAUCGGGAGGAACACCAGUGGCGAAGGCAGCUCGCUGGGACGGUACUGACGCUGAGGCGCGAAAGCGUGGGGAGCGAACAGG